rnacentral:misc_RNA from 1 species
AGGCUGAGCGGAUGGGAC